AUUGAACGCUGGCGGUAUGCUUUACACAUGCAAGUCGAACGGCAGCGCGGGGGCAACCCUGGCGGCGAGUGGCGAACGGGUGAGUAAUGCAUCGGAACGUAUCCUGUAAUGGGGGAUAACGUAGCGAAAGUUACGCUAAUACCGCAUACGCUCGAGAGAGGAAAGUGGGGAUCGCAAGACCUCACGUUAUAGGAGCGGCCGAUGUCCGAUUAGCUAGUUGGUGGGUAAAGGCCUACCAAGGCGACGAUCGGUAGCUGGUCUGAGAGGAUGAUCAGCCACACUGGGACUGAGACACGGCCCAGACUCCUACGGGAGGCAGCAGUGGGGAAUUUUGGACAAUGGGCGAAAGCCUGAUCCAGCCAUGCCGCGUGCGGGAAGAAGGG
rnacentral:rRNA from 1 species